GUCCUGCCUGCCCAGUGACUCAUGUUAAACGGCCGCGGUAUUUUGACCGUGCUAAGGUAGCGCAAUCACUUGUCUUUUAAAUGGAGACCUGUAUGAAUGGUGGAACGAGGGCUUAACUGUCUCCCCCCUCUAGUCAAUGAAAUUGAUCUACCCGUGCAGAAGCGGGUAUACACAUAUAAGACGAGAAGACCCUUUGGAGCUUAAGACAAAAGACCAACUGCAUCAAGGACCCCAAUUAAACGAGAUCAAACAAAACAGCAACUGGCCCAAGUCUUCGGUUGGGGCGACCGCGGGGGACAACAAAGCCCCCAUGUGGAAUGGGAACAUCCCUAAAACUAAGAGAGACAUCUCUAAGCAACAGAACAUCUGACCAUAAAGAUCCGGCACAAUAGCCGAUUAACGGACCAAGUUACCCUAGGGAUAACAGCGCAAUCCCCUUUGAAAGUUCAUAUCGACAAGGGGGUUUACGACCUCGAUGUUGGAUCAGGACAUCCUAAUGGUGCAGCCAGCUAUNARGGG
rnacentral:rRNA from 1 species